UACGUAGGGUGCGAGCGUUGUCCGGAAUUAUUGGGCGUAAAGGGCUCGUAGGCGGUUUGUCGCGUCGGGAGUGAAAACGCCGUGCUUAACACGGCGCUUGCUUUCGAUACGGGCAGAGUAGAGGUAUGCAGGGGAGAACGGAAUUCCUGGUGUAGCGGUGAAAUGCGCAGAUAUCAGGAGGAACACCGGUGGCGAAGGCGGGUCUCUGGGCAGUAACUGACGCUGAGGAGCGAAAGCGUGGGGAGCGAACAGG
rnacentral:rRNA from 1 species